rnacentral:rRNA from 1 species
UACGUAGGGUGCGAGCGUUAAUCGGAAUUACUGGGCGUAAAGCGUGCGCAGGCGGCGCGUUAAGACAGGUGUGAAAGCCCCGAGCUUAACUUGGGAAUUGCGCUUGUGACUGGCGUGCUGGAGUGUGGCAGAGGGAGGUGGAAUUCCACGUGUAGCAGUGAAAUGCGUAGAGAUGUGGAGGAACACCGAUGGCGAAGGCAGCCCCUGGCGAACACUGACGCUCAGGCACGAAAGCGUGGGGAGCAAACAGG